AUGAUUUCUUCUAGAGUUAAAGGAACAAACUUAAGGAGUACCAAGAUCAAUAACAAAGUGGUAUCAUCAAGUCACUUAGGAGACUACAUGGCCAGUGAUCCCAGCGAUUCUCCCACAAGACGCUUCUUACGCUGCCACCCAACCGACCUUCUCUUCCGUCCCUUCCCGCUCUCACCAAAACCUAACACCUCCUCCUUUUCUAUCGGUCAAAACCGUGAAGGACAUUUGGGGUUUACGACUGUGUAA